GAACUUCCAAAGAGUAACAUAUGCAUAAGUGUCACGUUGUUCAAUUUGAAACAUUUAAAAUGAAUACACUAAAUGGUUCUCUAGUUUACUUUUAACAAGUAUGAAAAUAAAAUUUCCCAAAAUAUCACUAGCAUUCGAGGUCCAUAAAAGAUAUGUUGUUAUGAUUAUGAUUGACAUUCUUCAUGGUAUUUGAUCCAAAUACUAUUGCACCAGCUGUUUGUGUUAAUCAUGACCCGAUGUCCCAUUAUGUGUUGAUUUUUUUCAAAGAAAUGUUUGUUUAGUCUUUUUAAGCAUUUUAUAAAAUUAUUGGAUGCACAUUUUGUUGAUACUGAAUAGACAUAAUCAGAAGAUAUGAUUCAUGAAGUGAUUCAGUGCAAUAUAUCUUUAUAUGCAUCAAUAAGAUAAUCAAAGAAAUUAAUUAAUCAAGAUUCUGACCUUGACAGUGCUGCUGUACGCUACGGUGCCAUAUUGGGGGAGAGUUAUAUCAUGACCAUGACAAGCGUGAAGUAUUACUGGGAGGCAUAAUGGAAACGUACUCUAUACACACGGUUUACGUAUAACCUACUAGUAUUGUAUCAUGCUGACGUAUUGGUUACAGCCUGGUACGAUAUUCUCUAAGAUUUGUGUUAUAAUGAAUCUAUUGUUUUUUGUAUUCAUUUUGUAAUAAUUAACUCUGACUCUUUGAAGAUAUUGAGCUAAUUAUGUAUCAGAAAUAAAACUGUCCAUU
rnacentral:sRNA from 1 species